UCUCAGGACGAACGCUGGCGGUAUGCCUAACACAUGCAAGUCGAACGGAUUCUUCGGAAUUAGUGGCGGACGGGUGAGUAACGCGUGAGAAUCUGCCUCUUGAAUGGGGACAACAGUUGGAAACGACUGCUAAUACCCAAUGAGCCGCAAGGUAAAAGAUUUAUCGUCAAGAGAGGAGCUCGCGUCCGAUUAGCUAGUUGGUGGGGUAAAAGCUUACCAAGGCGGCGAUCGGUAGCUGGUCUGAGAGGAUGAGCAGCCACACUGGGACUGAGACACGGCCCAGACUCCUACGGGAGGCAGCGGUGGGGAAUUUUCCGCAAUGGGCGAAAGCCUGACGGAGCAAUACCGCGUGAGGGAGGAAGGUUUUUGGGUUGUAAACCUCUUUUCUCAAGGAAGAAAAAAUGACGGUACUUGAGGAAUCAGCAUCGGCUAACUCCGUGCCAGCAGCCGUGGUAAUACGGAGGAUGCAAGCGUUAUCCGGAAUUAUUGGGCGUAAAGGGUCCGCAGGUGGCCCAUCAAGUCUGCUGUCAAAGACCGAAGCUUAACUUCGGGCAGGCGGUGGAAACUGGUGAGCUAGAGUACGGUAGGGGUAGAGGGAGUUUCCAGUGUAGCGGUGAAAUGCGUAGAGAUUGGAAAGAACACCAGUGGCGAAGGCGCUCUACUGGACCUGUACUGACACUGAGGGACGAAAGCUAGGGGAGCGAAAGGGAUUAGAUACCCCUGUAGUCCUAGCUGUAAACGAUGGAUACUAGGCGUUGCUUGUAUCGACCCGAGCAGUGCCGUAGCUAACGCGUUAAGUAUCCCGCCUGGGGAGUACGCACGCAAGUGUGAAACUCAAAGGAAUUGACGGGGGCCCGCACAAGCGGUGGAGUAUGUGGUUUAAUUCGAUGCAACGCGAAGAACCUUACCAGGACUUGACAUCCCACGAAUCUUGGAGAGAUCCGAGAGUGCCUUAGGGAACGUGGAGACAGGUGGUGCAUGGCUGUCGUCAGCUCGUGUCGUGAGAUGUUGGGUUAAGUCCCGCAACGAGCGCAACCCUCGUCCUCAGUUGCCAGCAUUAAGUUGGGCACUUUGGGGAGACUGCCGGUGACAAACCGGAGGAAGGUGGGGAUGACGUCAAGUCAGCAUGCCCCUUACGUCCUGGGCUACACACGUACUACAAUGGUUGGGACAAAGGGCAGCGAGCGAGCGAUCGUCAGCGAAUCUCAUCAAACCCAGCCUCAGUUCAGAUUGCAGGCUGCAACUCGCCUGCAUGAAGGAGGAAUCGCUAGUAAUCGCAGGUCAGCAUACUGCGGUGAAUCCGUUCCCGGGCCUUGUACACACCGCCCGUCACACCAUGGAAGCUGGCCACGCCCGAAGUCGUUACCCUAACCGUUCGCGGAGGGGGAUGCCGAAGGCAGGGCUGGUGACUAG
rnacentral:rRNA from 1 species